GGACGGGUGAGUAACGCGUGGGAACGUGCCCUUCUCUGCGGAAUAGCCACUGGAAACGGUGAGUAAUACCGCAUACGCCCUUCGGGGGAAAGAUUUAUCGGAGAAGGAUCGGCCCGCGUUAGAUUAGGUAGUUGGUGGGGUAAUGGCCUACCAAGCCUACGAUCUAUAGCUGGUUUGAGAGGAUGAUCAGCCACACUGGGACUGAGACACGGCCCAGACUCCUACGGGAGGCAGCAGUGGGGAAUCUUAGACAAUGGGCGCAAGCCUGAUCUAGCCAUGCCGCGUGAGUGAUGAAGGCCUUAGGGUCGUAAAGCUCUUUCGCUGGGGAAGAUAAUGACUGUACCCAGUAAAGAAACCCCGGCUAACUCCGUGCCAGCAGCCGCGGUAAUACGGAGGGGGUUAGCGUUGUUCGGAAUUACUGGGCGUAAAGCGCGCGUAGGCGGAUCAGAAAGUUGGGGGUGAAAUCCCGGGGCUCAACCUCGGAACUGCCUCCAAAACUCCUGGUCUUGAGUUCGAGAGAGGUGAGUGGAAUUCCGAGUGUAGAGGUGAAAUUCGUAGAUAUUCGGAGGAACACCAGUGGCGAAGGCGGCUCACUGGCU
rnacentral:rRNA from 1 species